rnacentral:rRNA from 1 species
UACGAAGGGGGCUAGCGUUGCUCGGAAUGACUGGGCGUAAAGGGCGCGUAGGCGGAUGGCACAGUCAGAUGUGAAAUUCCCGGGCUUAACCUGGGGGCUGCAUUUGAUACGUGUGAUCUAGAGUGAGGAAGAGGGUCGUGGAAUUCCCAGUGUAGAGGUGAAAUUCGUAGAUAUUGGGAAGAACACCGGUGGCGAAGGCGGCGACCUGGUCCUUGACUGACGCUGAGGAGCGAAAGCGUGGGGAGCGAACAGG